rnacentral:lncRNA from 1 species
UGAUAAAGGUGUAUUAUCCAGCACCAUCUUCCCUGGCUAACAUACUUAUCAUAUUUCUAUGGUUCUCCAAAAUUAUAUAAAUACAUCACAACCAAAGCUGUUCAUUAAGGAUCCUACAAUGCAAUUAAAAGCAGAAGUAGAUAAGAUUGUGGGGCAUGAAUUAUUCUCAGAGAUGUGGAAACAUCCUAAGAUAACAGCCCCAGCAUUCCCUAGGCUAUUUGCUUUUAUAAAGACACAUAAGGACCUGAUAGUGGCAAGACCUAUCGUAGAAAAGAGAACAGCCCCUACAUACACACUGGAGAAAACUUUGGCAAAAUGAUGUAUAUCAAUACUAAGACCAAAUAAUAA